rnacentral:lncRNA from 1 species
UUCUUUCCAUUCCCUACCUCCAAUCUCUCUCCUCCACUUAGAAAAGAAAAAAAGAAACCUAGCCUGGUUAAUCAAUAACGAAAACGAAAUUGAAUCGCAUCCCUGUUCUUCCUCUUCCUCCCCUUCCUCCUGGCCCUUUCAUUGGCCAGCGAUGGUUCUUUGUUUAUUUCAUGCCAAGUCGGGGUGAAUGGCGCAAAACAAACAUCGGGGGGGGGGAAAUCACCAAACAGAUGAUUCCGUCCCCCGAGUGAAAUGGGGAAGAGGGGAGGACAAGAAAAGGAAAAGAAAGAAGACCGGACUUCAUUAAAAAGGAUAAGAAACAGGGCUCUACCUCUUAUCUUCUGUUAUUAUGAAGGACACCGUUUACCUGCAUCAGGACACCCGAGGUACGGAUAAGUCUCUGUUAAUCGGAUGGAUUCCAUCAGUAUUUGUGGGUCCCUCCCCCUGCACAUUGUGUCCCAUUUCUGUGAAAGGUCCCUAAACAGGGCAUGAAGACAUUGGCUUUUCCCUGUUAGAAAAGCCAGAAACUACCUCAUACUAAAUAAUGUUUCACAUUUUAAACAUCCAAAUAUCUUAAAAGUCAAUGUUCCACAACUUCAGAGCUCUCAUUCUAUUCUCUACCGUGUAUUCUCUGCAGGUGAACAUACACUGAGAGUUUUCCACUUGAGUUGAACGUGUUAUUGAAGCUUUUUGCUGUUUGGGUUCUAUAGCGUGCCAAACGGAAGAUUUCCAUUCGAAUUCAUCUCCUUCACUGGCUGGCCUGCUCUGACUCCCCCAUCCCUUGUUUCUAGUCUACAUAUUUACACUUCUUCCCCUUCCUUCCUUCCUUCCUUCCUUCCUUCCUUCCUUCCUAGGGCAGGUCCAAUGCAUUCUACUGCUUGAAGUGAAGCAGCAAAUGGUGCCUGCUCCAGCCAAGGUGCAUAUUACCAAAGGACAGUCAAUUUUAACACCUGAAGCAGAUAAUUCUACAAACAUCGCUUCGCUUCCCUGGAAGCAGAAGACAGCAAUCGAAAUUUCCUGUACUUUCCUAACAUCCC